rnacentral:tRNA from 1 species
GUGCCCUUAGCUUAAUUGGAUAGAGCUGUUGCCUCCUAAGUGACAGACGUGGGUUCGAAUCCCGCAGGGCGCACCA